rnacentral:rRNA from 1 species
GACGAACCGUGCGAACGUUAUUCGGAAUCACUGGGCUUAAAGCGCGUGUAGGCGGGACGGCACGUCGGUCGCUGAAAGCCCCCGGCUCAACCGGGGAACGGGCGCCGAUACGACCGGCCUGGAGGGACGUAGGGGGACCUGGAACUUCCGGUGGAGCGGUGAAAUGCGUUGAGAUCGGGAGGAACAUCAGUGGCGAAGGCGGCCAUCUGGAUCAACACUGACGCUGAAGCACGAAAGCGUGGGGAGCAAACAGG